UUCUGAUCAUUGCUUCAUAACUCACUACCUAUUUCUUUUAAUCCGACUCAUCAAGUUCUCGUGGUCAGCUUCUCAGGGAACAAUCUCACUAGGAGCUCAUAAACAUCCUGAAAAAAUCUACCUUCAACUGCUCAAAAUCAGUACUGCAAAGCGACCACAACACAGCAGCAGCAUUCUCCUGGUUUCGUGGAGAACCAGUUCUGAUGAACUCUAAAAGAAUUGCUGUCGGCUCAGUUUGCCUUAUUGCCAUCUUCCCUUCAUGAUUGAAAGAUUGAAAAUAGCAGCGGCUGCAUCCUUCUUUCCUCUGGUAGUACCUUCACAAAGCAAACUGAUAAGAGAAGGAAUUGCCCGGG